GUUGUGGGGAAUGUUGGCUGGCUCGAGGCCAUCCGAUUUAGGAAAGCCGCUUCGGUUGGCAUAGUCCCGGGUGACAUCGGACCAGGCUUCAUUCCCCUCAAA
rnacentral:pre_miRNA from 1 species